rnacentral:rRNA from 1 species
GUGCAGCAGUCAAGAAUUUUUCACAAUGGGGGCAACCCUGAUGGAGCGACGCCGCGUGGAGGAUGAAGGCUUUCGGGUUGUAAACUCCUGUCAUUUGAGAACAAGUGUAGCCAACUAACUAUUGGCUACUUGAUAGUAUCAGAAGAGGAAGGGACGGCUAACUCUGUGCCAGCAGCCGCGGUAAUACAGAGGUCCCAAGCGUUGUUCGGAUUCAUUGGGCGUAAAGGGUGCGUAGGUGGCGCCGUAAGUGGGGUGUGAAAUUUCGGAGCUUAACUCCGAAACUGCAUUCCAUACUGCGGUGCUUGAGGACUGGAGAGGAGACUGGAAUUCAUGGUGUAGCAGUGAAAUGCGUAGAGAUCAUGAGGAAGACCAGUGGCGAAGGCGGGUCUCUGGACAGUUCCUGACACUGAGGCACGAAGGCUAGGGGAGCGAACGGGAUUAGAUACCCGCGUAGU